rnacentral:rRNA from 1 species
GACGAACGCUGGCGGCGUGCCUAAUACAUGCAAGUAGAACGCUGAAGGAGGAGCUUGCUCUUCUGGAUGAGUUGCGAACGGGUGAGUAACGCGUAGGUAACCUGCCUGGUAGCGGGGGAUAACUAUUGGAAACGAUAGCUAAUACCGCAUAAGAGUAGAUGUUGCAUGACAUUUGCUUAAAAGGUGCAAUUGCAUCACUACCAGAUGGACCUGCGUUGUAUUAGCUAGUUGGUGAGGUAACGGCUCACCAAGGCAACGAUACAUAGCCGACCUGAGAGGGUGAUCGGCCACACUGGGACUGAGACACGGCCCAGACUCCUACGGGAGGCAGCAGUAGGGAAUCUUCGGCAAUGGACGGAAGUCUGACCGAGCAACGCCGCGUGAGUGAGAAGGUUUUCGGAUCGUAAAGCUCUGUUGUAAGAGAAGAACGAGUGUGAGAGUGGAAAGUUCACACUGUGACGUAUCUACCAGAAA